GUAUUAUCAUAAAUCUAUUAUUUGUUUCACACGGUAAAGGAAAAUAAUCAAAUUACUUACAGUAAUAGUAUUAAUAAGUAUUUAUUUAAUUAAGCUUUAACAUUUGUACCUUUUUAUAAGAUUGUGUACUCAUUUCACAGCACAUAAUUGGUUUCCUAAUUUAUUACAGCUAUUUUGACUUGAAACCUGUUCUUUAUCAUCUAAAAUGUGUCUCUUGGUGUUUACCUCCAAUGGCCAUUCUGUGAAAGUGUCCCAUUCUAGAGCUGAGAAGAGACAGCAGGACAGGGAAUCAUCUGCUAGUGUCGCGUCAGAUGUCUACAUGUCCACAAGUUGUUUAAGAAAAAGUAAGAUAAGACUAUUGCAAACACAAGGCAAGAAGUUAUCAGAGAUGAACCCUUCAUCACCGAGUUCAAAACCAGAUGGCCUGCUCUCUUCUGUGUUUCUGAGAAUAAAUUUAAGAGGACUACAACAGUUUGCUGCAACAGUUCUUCUCCAUGCUGGAUGGUUAUUCUUCAGACCUGAAAACGGUGUUUGGCAAGGAAGGCGGCAUUCAAGGACAAAAGAUUAAGAGCAUCAUGGUUCCCAUAACCCAGACUAACUCCAUUGAUGUCAGAAGAGUACAUCCUUUAAGCCCAGUGUGUGUUCCUCAAUGAAGAUCCUGGCAACCUUGUGAAAGAAUGGAUGAUCGUGGACGCCUUGAAGAAGCCAUGAUAGAGACAAUUCUUGAAGUUUUUGUCAUUCACAAAGAUGCAGAGGCAGAUGAUGACCCUGAAGAUGUAGUCAUCGUUUCAAGUCCUGGAUGAGUUGGGUAGUGUCCCACUUGCUGUGUUGUUGUUUGCUCUUGUUAUAUGCUCUCAACCUCAGCUACCCUCCACUAAAAGUUGUUUGAAAUAUUGGCCCAAUGCUGUAUGUACAAUACUGGAUGUUAGUGACAUUUUGUAGCUGCCUUUGACAUUUGAAAGCUGUUUUAUUGUUUUUAUGGAGCUUAUAAA